ensembl:processed_transcript
UCCCCUCACACAUUUACAUUACAUACAAGGUGUUUGGGUCCACUAGACCCAGGUCUAAUAAAAGUCUUGAAAGUGUAGGUCCAGUGUUCCCACACUCUAUCCUCCUCCUUUCUGGUGCUGCUGUUUUCUUCCCCUCCCCCUCCCGCUCCAGCACAAAGUUGCAACAUUGUUGCAAAUUCAACUAUCAACACUGUCUGCUCUUACAUUCCCGCACAUUUUACCCUCUCUCUUGUGGGAACCAAGCUUUAUUUUCUC